rnacentral:rRNA from 1 species
UACAGAGGUCUCAAGCGUUGUUCGGAAUCACUGGGCGUAAAGGGUGCGUAGGUGGCGUGGUAAGUCAGAUGUGAAAGCCCGGGGCUCAACCUCGGAACUGCAUCCGAUACUGCCAUGCUUGAGUACUGAAGAGGUGACUAGAAUUCUAGGUGUAGCAGUGAAAUGCGUAGAUAUCUAGAGGAAUACCAAAGGCGAAGGCAGGUCACUGGGCAGUUACUGACACUGAGGCACGAAGGCCAGGGGAGCGAACGGGAUUAGAUACCCCGGUAGUCC